UACAGAGGGGGCAAGCGUUAUUUGGAAUUAUUGGGCGUAAAGGGCGCGUAGGCGGCUUUGCAAGUGACGGGUGAAAGCCCUCGGCUUAACCGAGGAACGGCCGUCCAAACUGCUUCGCUUGAGACCGGGAGAGGUGAGUGGAAUUCCCAGUGUAGCGGUGAAAUGCGUAGAUAUUGGGAGGAACACCAGUGGCGAAGGCGGCUCACUGGACCGGUACUGACGCUGAAGCGCGAAAGCGUGGGGAGCAAACGGG
rnacentral:rRNA from 1 species